CAAAUUUAAAAAAAACCAAAACAAACAACAACCAACCAAAUAUAAAAGCCCUGCCUUCGCCAACACAAUUGCUAGUUCAUCAAUCAAAGAGCUAAGGAUGUCUAACUUUGAUAUUCUGCAUAGUAUAAGGUGGAAGGCUAAAAAAGGAAAACGGAAGUAGAGAAAUUAUAGCUGUACACAGGUCUGCACACUGUCCCAAAUCCUUCAAUUGACCAUUAAGCUAAAAACAAACAAAAAAACCCCACCACAAACACACACAUGGCAUCACUACAUAAACAUCAACUGCCAGUGCUCACAUCCCAACAUGGGAUAAAGGGGUAAACUGGUGACAGGCUCUGGGCCUUUGCAUGACUUCAGAAACUUUACUUCUACCCUGCUAGGUGCCUGGCUCUAUGUAAAUGCAAAUAAUAUAGCAAAUUCAGUUCAAUAGUAAGAAUGUCUUACUAUUACGUGCUCUAACUUUUUUGAUUUUUACCUUACACUUCCGAGAUAGAAAUCCUGUCUUGAAAGUCAAUUUAUGAAAAAUCAUUUCAAGUGCUUCAGGGCUUCUGGUUAGUAUGAUCAAGUAUUUUCAAACUUCAAAAUUACAUUGCUGAUGUUAAGUAAUGUGGAGUUAAAUUAAUGUGGAAUUACUAUAGAACUUUAUCUAUAACUAUAUAACUUAAUAUAUAACUAUAACAAAGGCAAAUGCUUUAAUUUGCAGUUCCUCAAUCAGAAUGCAAGUAGGUUAUCUGCUUUCCUGACACAAUUGGGGAAAACAGUGGCUUAUAUCUAGAUAGGAAUUAGCUUAGCUUCAGAAACCUUUUGGUGCAGGAAAGUACAUUUGCAUCUUGGAAUGAAGAGGCAUUUCCUAACAUAUAUGUUUAGAUUGUUUUUAUUUUAAUGUUAGUGGGAUGUACCUACAUACCUACAAUGUAAGUGAACUAUGAAUUCCACAUCAAAUUAAUACAAAUGUGUUAUUAAGUACCUUAUACAGGCUAUACCAUCUUUACUUAACAUAAAUACAUUUCUCCAUUUCAAAGAAAUGAAAAAAAUACAGAUAACUUAGCUUUUGGAUUUCCAAAGCUUGUUAUUAGCUUGCAAGAACACAAAUAUUCUUUCCAUUUUAGAAGUGGAUUUUUUACACACUGUAUUUGAUUUAUACUAAAUUAAGCAUGAGUAAAUGUUAUAAAAAUAUUGCUUGUCUUCUGGGAUACAAAUUAUCGUGAUCAUAUUUAUAACCCAAUGUUUAUAUAUAAAGUUACGAAAGCAUAAAUUAAUAAUGAUGCAUUAGUGGGAAAAAAAGGCCUAAUGAAUUAAGUUUGACUGUAAAUAUCCAGCAGAGGAGGCUAGUUCUGAAUAUAAAAUUGAUCAGAUGAGACUGUUUGGCGAGAUCCUUAUCUAAAUAUCUUUAAAUUAUAGCAAGUGCUUAAAAGUGUAAAAUUCUGAUAAGGUUAAUCUGAAGAAAAUGUAAUUUCUGAGGUUUUUCAACAUUUAGAGAAUGCAAACAACUUGUGGGAGAUGGGCAGAUGUUGAAAGGGAAGUGUUUUGGUCUAGAUGCAAACAUGAAGUUGCCGUGAGAAGAAAAAUAGAGAAAUCACAUUAUAUUACUUUUCUCUGUCACUAUAUAGGUGGGAUAAUGGAACCCAGAAGUGCUGUGAUAUCACUGGCAUUUUCUUCUUACCUCCCCUGUGAAAUCCCCAAAUCUGCUGUUAGGGCAACCUGAGAAGCAGAGCCAAAUGGAAAGUGGUUUUCUCAAAUCAUUCAGGUUACAAGCAGAUUACAGAUUUAACAAUAUCCGUCUAAAGGUAAAUGAAAGAAGUUCUACAUGAAUAUAUACAAUACAGGGAUUCUAAUUCACUCAGAAGCCCAAUUUACUGUAAACCCAGGGAAAUGCGAGUUAACACCACCUUACAGGCCCAUUUCCCAGGUCUCUAACCCAAGGAAAAACCAAAGUGGAACCUGAUAAAAGGAAGACUUCUCUGGGAAGAACAAAUCUGCUCACUGUUCCCUGAAAUUCCUACAUUUUACAUUUAAACAUUAUUGAGUAAAAUCCAUGAGACAGUCCUGGGAACGGGGAUGAGAUUGAACCCCACUUUUUCUCUCUUCCUUUGGAAAUCCCAGUGCUCAAUGCAUUGUAAAAUCUAACUCAUCCUUUUCCCAUUCCCUAGCAAUAGUGAUCCAGGUUCUGCUCAGCAACAUAAAAUGGCACAUCAGCAUCCCCCAUUUUCAGUCAUUUGCUCCAAGCUGGAAUUCACAUGGACUACAUUUAGAGCUCUUGCUAUUUUUACUGCUGCUCAAAGCAAUAGACAUUGCACCUGUAACUACUUUUCUGUUGUAUGGUGUUGGUUGACUCUGAGCAAUUUUCCAUUUACCAUCCAGGAGCUCCACAACAGCAUCCCAACUCGCUGCACAAGUAGUGAAGACUAGGACUCACGUGUUAUUUGGCAGUUCCCAUCUCUCUGUUGUUUAUAUUGGGAGAUAAGCAGAGAGAAUAAUUUUUAGCAAAUGUACUGACUUUUUAAAGACUGCAAUACCUUCUGACCACCAAUUUCAGGUUCUAGCUACUAUUCCUAGAGAAUCGGCGAACAAACCUUCCUAUUAAGGAAGUUUAUAGUAUUGGUAUUAUCUUGUAUCUGGAUAGUCCAGUGGUAACACAAUAAACUGGAAAUGUGACUUAGUAAGGGGUUUAAAGAAGCCCACGGGACCUGAAGCCACUGGUGUGUGGUCACAUCUGUGCAAGGCAUAUUUUGUUUCUCACAACAGCAAUACAGGAGUUAUAUUUUGAAGCACUGACAUUCCCCCACCCUGUAUAUUUACUAAAGAAUUUAAAAUCUAGGAUUGUCUCUUAACUGCAACAUGAAUUAAGUUCUUGUGCUAUUUUCUAAGAGAGGAAAAAUAUGAAGAAUGCUAACAGGUGAAAGGAUGUGCUAGCUACAGCAGUUCCUCUGGCAUGUAGGAUUUAGAGCAGAUAAUUUCAUAACACCAAAAGGUCAAGCAAAUCAGUCUGGAAGAGAUAUGGAGAGACCUAACUUAGUAGAAGAUGAGUCUGAAGGAGGCAUGUAGUAUAUUGUCCUUUGUUCACCACUGAGAAACAGGUGUUCCUUGAAGUUUUAAACUAAUUAUUCAUUGCUAUAAGUUGAUGCUGACAAGUAGGCUGUGGAGAAGUACAGCUAGCAAAGUUAUGAAAUAAGAAAGGCGAGGAGAAACAAGAUUAUGUCACAAGGUGUCCAACAUAGAGAUGGCCCCCCACCUUUGAAACCUUGUUGGAUCAAGGACACAAAGAAUACUUUAGAGCCCUCAAAAGCAACAUUCUUCUACACGACUAACCCACUUCUGAGGAACUGCUUGCAUGACAUUUCGGUUAACUUUGGAAGCUUAUUCUAUCUGCCUGGGAUCUACACAUCUUGCACUAACUGCUAUUGACCAUUUUAGACAGCCAUUUUUACCAUGACUCUUACUUGAGUACAUAAUACUAGUAAUUUUGCAUAUGCAAAGGAAUGUAAAAGGAAUCUCACCAAGGCACAAAGAACAUUUUGGACAGUCAGGUUGAAUUAAGCUCUUGAAAAAGAUUGGUUUAUAGCACGAUUCCAUACUUCAAACAGUUUUAAGCCAAGAGACCCAAAUAUCUUACAAAGGUGCCUGGACUAUAUAGACUUUCUAGGUAAAAGAGAAACUGUAUUAGGAGAAAAAUAUAUUAGUUUUGGCAACUUAGAAAUGGAGGUAUAUGUAAGGGAGAAGAUUAAGAAACCCAACAAAAAAAAAAAGUUCUUGUGCUUUAGGUCCUGGAAUUCAACAUACUGGUAUUUCAGAAGAAGCAAGGGAAAACACAAUAAAGAUUGAGCUACCCCACAGAAAUUACUCUUCCAGGCAUGUCUGCAGAAGAUGCAGGAGGUAAAAUAGUUGCUAGCUUUGAGAAGAUGCAGAAUCUUAAACACUUCUUACUUCUUAUUGGCAACACAAUGGCUCAAAAAGGAAGGAGAUAAGUGAACCACUGAGUUGUGGAAGAUCAGCACUUCACUCUUCUCACCCUAUGAUUUGAUGGGAGUAAAACCAGACACUUUCAUCAGUUGCAGCUUCAAAGUUGCAAAACCACAACCAAAAUUAAAGUAUAGCCUCAGUUGAAGGGGAGAGAGAGGAGAAAGUGUGAAGCAAGUUUCCAUUCAGAUUUCAUUUUUUUGCUGACUUCACUGAGCUCGAACUGACUCUGAGCAGCAAGAUCACAACACUCAGUUGUGCAUGGCCUGCAUGUACAGGGUGCAGCCACAAGAAAUCAUCACUUUCAUGGUGCAAGAUGAUAAAAGCAUUAAAAUACUUUCAGUAAGCA